UAUAUUAAGUAAAAUUAAUUCAUGUUUUUAAUAAUAUUCCUAGAGUGGACCAUGUGGCCUCCAAUACUGUGGUCAUUUUAAUCAGCAGGGUGAGCUGAGUCCACUGGUCAGGCUCAGCAGCACCCCAUGUGUCCACUUCAUCCCUGCUGGGCUUGGUGACUUUACUUUGGUAGCAGGAAGUGGACAUUUGUGACUCCAUUUUUAUGCCAUGGACAUUGGCUACUGCUAUAAUCCAGGGUCUUGUUUUCUCUUGUAGAACACCUGUGAGCCAGUUAUUAGCACACCGCUGAAUUACACACACAUUUUAUAAGAAAAAGGGACCCAAUAUAAAUAGAAGUCUCUGUAAUUAAGAAUCUUGCUCACUGGUAAAUAUUUUAAUAAGACACUGCUUAUGAGAGAUAGCAUUAAGUUAGACUGUCUAGGUGCAAAUCUUUUAUUAGUUAUCAGUUAAUAAAAUCCCUGUGCCUUAGUCUCCUCAUACUUAAAAUGAGAACAUAAUAAUGCCUAUUGCAUCGGAUUGUUUUGAUGGUGAAAUGAGCUAACAUAUGUAAUACACUGCAAAAAACGCCUCGUGUAGGAAACAUGCUUGGUGAGUUCAUUCUAUUAACAUCAACAGGCUGUUUAGACUUCUCCUAAAACACUGCCUAAUUUCAGUGUUACUUUUCCUGUUGAGAUUUUAUAUCUUUUAGAAACCUGUACCCAACUUCCACAAGUUUGUGAAGAUCCAUUAAAUGGAAGCACGUCAAAUCACUCCAAAAUGCACAAAGCACUGAUUUCAUAGCUGACUUCAAGAGAGCCUUGGGCUAACAGUGGAGGUGCGAUUUCCCCAACCAGACUGCAUCUCCUUCACCUUCUCCAGCAGCAGCCACUCCCCUCCUGCUCCUGCUCACCUGGGUUCCAGUUCCCACCUUGUCACAGGUGUGUGUGCCCCCGAGCCUUCGGCUUGCUCCUGGCACUAAUUUCUGAGUUGUCCCCCUUUUCUCUGGUUUGCUUGCUCUGGAUCUCUGAUCAACCGUCUCCCACUUUGUGGAAUUCCCUGAGUCACAGUUCUCCCCUUCAAAUACUCCAAUCUUAUUUUCCUAGCUGCAUCCUGAUUGGUGCCAGUCCGGCACAGCAUCCUGCUCACACUGAAGUCUUGGGUAGCACAGCCCGGAGGCGAUGCCCAGUGCUCCUGCUGACCCGAGGACCUCUGGGGCCAGACCCCAAGGCUUCGACCCCCUUCCCAGCUCUCCUUCUCCGGUUCAGAUUCUACUUGAGCCCACUCUGCCCAGGAGAGACCAAGUAGUUUUCUCUGCCUGCUGACACUGACACCAGAAGACAUUCAAACAGCUCACUGGAUUGCUAGCCCAGCCCAUUGGUGGCAAACCUAUGGGACAUGUGCCCAGCCUCUGCCAUCAAUUAAGUAGAUGCCAUAGCUCUGACUUGUUUCCUGUAAAGGGGUGCCGGCUUUGUUUACUUCAUUUAGCAGGCUCUCUCUGCGCACUCGGUCCACUGCCUCCCACAUCGGUCCGUGGCAUUUGUUUAUUCUACCCAAUCACACGCAGAGCUCUGUGGUCAGGGGCACUUUUCCUUUUAUAUCUGCUCACAGCAGGUUCACAGUACAGGCUUGUGAGCUAAAUACAGUCUACAUUUCACCAGCAUCUGUGCUGAUUUCCGGUUCCUUGUCAGAGGGACAUGCUGUGUGCCCUCCUGCAGCUGCAUGGUGUGCACUGGAUCAUCCACUCAGGAUGUGCUCUGAGCAGGUCCUGUAUUCUAGACCGGAGAUACUGGGGGCCACUAGGGGCAGCACAAAGACUCCAAGGCCCAUUGCCACUUACUUUAAAAGCAAGGGUUCCCCCUAAGCUGCCUCUCCCUGGGGACUGCCACUGUCCUUCUAGUGGUUUCCUGGACUGACAAUGCUCUGUGUCACAGAACCUGCUCAUCUUCUUCAUAGCAUUGCAUAUGAACUAUGUAUGGAAUAAGCAUAAAGGACAGGGAGAAAUUUAAAUUUAUACAAAUGUGUAGUGAAUACAAAGGGCACGUGUAUAAGUAUCAUACAGAACAGGCACCCUCUUGUAUGAGUGUGUGUGGGGGGGUGUUGUUAUGCUUUCAUUUUGUCUUUCCCUCUACAGAUUUUCUUUACUUCAGCUUCUUUCACUACUGAACACCAAGCCUAACACAGAGGCUGGCUGGCACACAGUAGGUGCUCAAAUGCUUGGUGAAUAAAUAAUAGAGAGUGGCUGGAUCAAGGAGAGCAAAGAACGCUUCCCAAUCAUUAAUUUAUCAGACCUUAAGUUUUCCUGAAUAAAAAAUGUAGAAAGGAGAGAACAAGGAAUUAUGUCAGCUUCUUUGGUCUAAAACAUUUGGAGAAUAGCUGGUCACAACCUAUUGUUUAGUAACCCAGCCUUACUCAGAAAUGCCAGUGGUUGAACUCAUGAUUUUUCAAACUUACUCAUUCAAAGGCUAUUCAUAUUCCCCAUAUUAUUUUAAUUCCUUUCCCUUAUCAGAGAGGCAGUACUGAGUUUCCUAUAUGAUUUAACUAUAUAGCAUACUAACACGCAUAGCCCAUGGAGAAAGAGCCCUCCCCCCUUGCCUGUGCUUGCCCCUUACUUUUUUAUUCUUCGUGAGCAUGCACAUUAUUUCAUUUAACAACCAGUUAAGAUGCCUUUAUGUGUCAGGCACUGCACUAGAGACCUGAUAUAAAAACAAAAACAAAAAUACAAAUCAAAAAGCAGUGAGCAAGACAGCAUCUGCUUUCAUGAAGCCUAGAGUGUAACGAGGGUUCACAGCAAUAAAUGGAACAUAUAUUAUGAUGCCAGAAAGAAAUAGAAAGCUUGAGACAAAAUAGUGGGCAAGCAGUGGCGAGGAGGCUCAGGGCUGCUAGGCCAGGGCAGAAGGCCUUCCUGAGGAGCUGACAUUUCAGCAGCGUCUAAGAAUAGAGGCAGCACUCACACUGCAGGAGAGGAGCCCCGUGGUGUGUGGUGUGGGCAGGCACACAUGCUGGGCUGUCUGCCAGUGGACACUUGUGAGCCCAGGAAGGAUGGUGGGAGCAGGGCUUGGGGGACAGCGCAGGUCAAAUCGUGCGUGGUUUUCUGAGCAGAGCACCACUAAAAGGUGGGGUAUGUGCCUGGAACCCAGCCACAUUGGAGGCUUAGCAGGAGGGUGGAGAGUUCAAAACCAGGCUGGGCAAUCUAGCAAGACCCAGCCUCAAAAUGAAAUGAAAAAAAAGAACUUGUACAAGAAGCUACAAUGAUCUGAUACAAGUUUCAAAAGACCACCCUGGCUGCUGGAUGGAGCACUAAUGGGAAGAGGACCUGAGUAAAAUGAGACAACCUGGCAGACUGUCAGAGUGGUAACUCCAGGGCAGGGAUGUGUCGUUUCCACCUGGAGAGCUGGACAGGAGGAUGUGCAGGCCGGAUUGGGAGGGAAGAAAGGGCUGCGUGUGACCCUGCAGUUUCUGUCUCGGGUGCUGGAUGAUAGUUCGCUUACUAGGGGCCCCCCAGCAGCUCUGUCUCGAUGAGGUUCAUGGCAUGGUCCUGUGACACCUGGUCAGAGAUGUGAAAAAGACCCCUGAUUACAGCAAUGUGACGCUGUGACAGAAAUGAGCCCGAGCCAGCCUCUGCUAGGUCUCACCUUUGGUCUGGGGAGAAAACUCAAGUUUUUUACACACACAUUUAUUUUUAAAUAGGCUGCACAGGCAGAUUUUCACACAUUGAAGAUUCGCUUGUUCUGCACACCCUGCAAAACCUCACCUCACAUCCGCAGCAGUAGGUAAGUCCCAGGUCAACAGACACAAGCUACUGCUGCCCGUUGGAGCUCUGUGACCAGAACACGCCCCCUCUCCAGUCCUGUUCUCCCCUAGACAUCCCCUGGUCCUUAGCACUUCUGCAUCUUAGUCUUCAGACAGACUCCUAUUGCCAUGGACUCCCCAGGGCAGAACUGUCAAAGUAGCCCCUGAUGGGUACAAAGUAGCCUGUGGGUGCUACUGCUACCUUGUGCUCAGGAUUUCCUCGAUCAGGCUCAAAACAAACCCCUGGAAAAGCUCAAAGGAAAACAAGAUUUUGCUCUGGAGCCACAGUAUUACCAGGAAAUAUUUAGCACCAAGAUUGCAUUAGGGCCAUGAUAAUCACUGAUACUACUUUAGGAGGAGUGCUCCAGGACUCUCUCUGAAGAGUUAAAAAUGUUAGAUAGGCUAACAAGGAAAACCCACAAAUGUAACCCCUCAGUCAAUCCCUGUGCACAUUUUCCUAUCCAGGCCACUCACUGGCUCUGAGACAGCCUGGCUCCUCCUCCCUCCACCCUGGGUUCUGUGUCACUGCUUUCCCCAUUAUUGAAAGUAUAGAUUAUGUGUCUGUCCCUACACAAGGCUGUCCUGGAAGUGAGACAUGUGCUCAUCUUUGAAUUCCAAAGACCUAGCAGGGCACCCGUAGAGUGGGAAAUUCGUGUUUCCUGGAAGGCUGAGUGAGUGUCUGGCAGCCUUAGAGAGGACAGAACAGGGCAGGGGUGACAAUGUGGACAGUAGACUUUGGUGGCUGGGGAACGUCAAGACUCCUCUUGUUUUCAUGAUGAUAGGAUUAUUAUCUGCUCUUGCUUCUCGAUCUGAAGUUAGAUUCUGCUCUCAUACUAAAUAAAACACUGGGUCACUGGUCUCACGUGUAUUGUACCACAGAAACUACAUAUGGGGUCAGAGAAUAAUACAAAAUGAUUUCAAGCAAUUAGAAUCAUAGCGAGC
ensembl:lncRNA